rnacentral:lncRNA from 1 species
AUUUUUUCUCCUUAAAGCACAUGUACCUGGGAGGUCACAGUCUUAACAAAGUCAAAGUUUUGUGUGUUUGAGAGCUUUGCCCUACUACCAUGUAAUUGAAAUCAAGCUUUUAAAAGCUCACGGUAAUAUGUUUGUUCUUUAACCUCACCCAACGAAGAGAGAGCGCUUUGCUGAGAGAACCCAUUGUUACGCUCCUGCACUUAACUGAUAAGGAACUGAUACAACCAGUAGCAAAGAAAGAAACUAAUAAUAAUAUAAAAAGAUUCACAUGCCUUCCUUCCCCAGCAUACUAAUGCCUUGCCCAAUGAAUUUCCCAAGUUGUUAACAAAUGAGGUGCAGUAUAUUUAAUAAUAUUAACAUAUUGUUGCAAGGCUUAUUUAAUAACAGGUAGGAGGGAUGAGUUCUCAUGUCAGAAAAUGGAGGGCCUCAUGCCAUUUGGAGACCUGCUCAUUAUCCGUUCUUACAAUUUAAUGAUAUAUGUGUCUAUUACCGAGGAGAAGUAGAGGAUCUACUCAGGAACUCUGUGAGAUUGAUUGACUGGAAAAACGCAUAAAGGCUUAAACUAUCUUACAUCAUCUGCCAUGCAUACAGGACACUUUCUCUGCUAUGUGAAAAACUCUGAGCAACUGGAGACAGUGAAAAUAUGUAAAUGGGACUGGGCUGAUUUCAAGGAGAUGACAUGUGGGUUCUGAAUGUGUUCGGCAAACCAGGAAAUCACAUCCUUCCCAUUCCAGGAACCAGGACCUCAUGAGCGAACUUCGCUCUGGAGAAACCUAGUGAGAUGUGAGAACAACUUGUGCAAUAAAAUCAGUGGGGAAUGGAUAUCAAAGUGUACAGCAACAUUAGCUGCAGUAGCUUCAGAAGAUAAAGAGUUAUGGUCAUAUUUUAGACUGCACAAAGUGGGAUUACAAGUCUCUUCUGGCAUUUCAACCAAAGAAGUCAAGAAGCAAAUGGCAAGACCAGCUAUUCAAAUACUGCCACCAAGACAAGAGGUGGAGGUCGGUCUAUUCUCCCAGCUUUUGCACAUCUGGCCAAACCAAACUGGAGUUGAAUCUGCAACUGAUCCCCAGACUCAGCUGUCCCCAGAUGUUCAGAUACCAAGAAGAUGACAAUGAGGAGCCUGGGAGAUGGCAUUCCUUGAACCUCAACAACUCCAACAGUCUCACAAGCAUUCAAAUGGGUUAGAGGAGAGUUUGCUCUUGUAUUUCUUCCUGUAAUAGCACACACAUAUCAGACCAAUGUUUUACACCUCUUCAACACACACAGUGGCUGAAAUGGAUAAUUUGGAAAAGAGACGGAUGGCAACAAGUGUGAGUGUGGAACACUAAUCCUUAGCUGAUUCCACAAAAGUCGUAUACUAUUUAUUCAAUAGUAAGUGAGAAUGAAGCAAGGGUCUGCCCAUAUGAGAGGGCCGGAAGUGGAAGGACUGUCAUGGAUUUCAUCUGAAUCAGUUUGCAUUCACAUGUCUUUGGUUUAAUUCUUAGGGAGCCCCAAGUGGAGCCAGGAGAUGGGCUCAGUGAUCUUCGGGGACAUUCUGUGAUUCUGUGAUUCUCCACCUAUUAGGCAUAAAUUGAAAUGGCACUGAGAACCACAGUAAAGUUCAGCAAAUUGCACAGGGAAUUGGUUUUCAUCCAUCAGUUAGGAAAGAAAAGCUUGCAGGCCAAAAGAGAUCAGAAGUCUGUACGUUGUGCUGUGUUGCCAGCAUCAGCCACUGGCAGAUCGCAAUUCAGAAGAUGAAACAGUUUGCAGUGUAAAGACAGGGAGUGUUAACUGAGAAUCUUAAAAUGAAACGUAACUGUGUAGUUAAUAGCCUUAUGACAGGGCAAAGCAGAACAAAAUACGGAACAAGAAAGGACAUCUCCCAUGCUUCUUACUACAGGAAACAAACUUUCACUAUCGAUGACAAUAGCUAUUGUAGAAGAAGAUGGAUGGCAUUGACACAGUAUGUGAUUACUAAGAUAGAUUUUCUUGGUCAAGCCAAAUAUUUUUGAUUGAAGAAGAAAUAAAUAUAUUUUUCACUUCAUGUUAUAGCUGCUGUUGUCUGAAACCCAGUGGGGAAAAACAAUUGUAAAAACAUAUUUUGUUUUCCUGAUUAUUUUCCAAAGGAACUCUGAACAAAACACAUUCAGGAGUUGAAAAAUCCAACUGGCUCUGAUGUUUCCUGUUUUCCUGGAUUGCAGCAGUGCUGAUAGUCAGAUACGGCAUGAGAAGGGUGUGGGAAAUGGCAGCAGAACAUACCCUGCCCUGUCUUGGAACAUGAGGAACUUCACCUGUGCUCAAAGAGAAGAUCGAGGAAAACUGGCAGAGGGAGGAAGCGUAUCUGGAGUGUUUUGGCUGUCGUGUAAAAUUUAAAAGAAUGCAAAAUUUGUGAAAGAUUCAGUGUUGGAUGGACAUGUCUACCAGGCAAAGACAGCAGCUAGUGUUCAUCACAUCUGCAGUCCGACUCUGGCAGGAUCAGGACUCGGAUGGCCAGUGCCUAUGGGGCUGAGAGUGAGGAGGGACCUGGAACCUCAUGGGGACAGGAAAAGUUCACACUGCUGCCAACGUCAAUGUCUCCUAUUUGCUUCUUCCAGAAGAGUCAGGUCCUGUUCCAUGGAGAAACAGAAGGAAUUAGAGUAUCCUCCUCUCAACAAAGACAGUUCUUCCAUUUCAUGGAAAGAGGAUGCACCACUGCUUGCUUCAGUCUGCUAUAAUACUUGCAGAAAUUGCCUACAUCAUCUACAUUCAAAGCCUGCUCUGUAAUGGGCAGUGGAUAUCACUUAUGUAAUUAAGCAGAGGUAAAUAAACAUGCGUAUGGUACGCAGUUAAGCUAAUCAUCCCAGAUUAUCAGUACAGUCAGUGAGGACAUAGACAGGCUAUGCAUAGGAAUCUUGAGUGUGAUUCGUCCUCCUUAAGUAAAUGUAUACAGUAGGUCAGGAAAACUGCACCCUAAAAACACUUAUUUCUCUUCCUUGCCUAUAAGGAGAGCCCAGAGUGAUUAGCACAGCUGUAGAUAUCUAUUCUGUAGAUGCUGAAAGAGAAAUGACACAAAUUCCACCCUGAUGUCUGCAAAAACAAAUGAAGUUUGCCAUAAUGGUGGUGGUUGAGCUGUGGCUUGCAACGCACAACAGGAAUAUGUGGAGAUGCUUCUAGCUUCUCCUUGAUCAACUCUGAGCAUCAAUAGUUUGCAGAGGUGUCUCAGGGCACUUGUUGCUAAAGUCAUAAUUAGUCUGUUGGUAAGGUGGGACACAAAUCAGAUUUAGAUUCCUGAAAGAGAUGCAGCUCUUACAUUGUGGAGGAUAAAAACAGAACAUUUAAUUGCCAAAUGGACAUAUGAAUAUGUCGAUCAAAAAACUUUUUUUUUUUUUUUGGGGGGGGGGGGGGAAGUAAAAAGUUAUGUCUUAGGUGGAGGAACAACUGGCUAAUCCUUCAUAGAAUCAUUAUCCUAGAAUCAUAGAUUCAUUAAGGUUGGAAGAGACCAAGAUCAUCUGCUCCAACUGUCGACUCAUCCCCAGCAUGCCCACUAAAUCAUACCCCUCAGUGCCUGAACUCUUCCAGGGACAGUGACUCCACCACCUCCCUAGGCAGCCUGUUCCUAUGUGUUACUACUCUUCCUGAGAAUAAUUUUUUCCUAACAUUCAAUCUGAACCUCCCUUGGUACAACUUAAGGCCAUCACCUCUCAUCCUAACUGCUGUUACCUAGGAGAAGAGGCCGACACCCACCUCACUACAACCUCCUUUCAUGCAGUUGUAGAGACCAAUAAGGUCUCCCCUGAGCCUUCUCCAGACUGAACAAUCCCAGUUCCCUCAGUCACUCCUCAUAAGACUUCCAGGAAUUUCAAAGGCCGAAAGUCUCGGUGUUAGCAUUAGGAGAUACCAAAAUGAUCUGACCAUGUAGGGAUGCACCUUGUAGUUGUAUCAUCCCCAGUCUGAGGAGUUGGGGCCAGUGUGGAUACCCUUAUUCCAUCUCACCAAAUGAAGAGCAAAAUAGAAAACCAUUCAUGCUGACUUGCCAGCUACUGCCUUUCAAGUAUCAUUACACAUUUCACAACAAUCUUCUCCUUUUAUAAGUACAAUCACUUGUGGCUCUGGGAUCUACCUACCAACUGCUCUUUAUUCAUCAUUUCUCCAGCAACUCAUACCUUAACAACAUUACACCAGAGCAGAGCCUGUCUGUGGCUCCACACAGAGCUCGACAAUGUCCUGCCUACAUGUGGAUGGAUGGAGGCAGUCAGUAAGAAGCAACUUUAGGCACUGCCUUCUCCCUGGGAACUACAGGCAUUGACUCUGGAGCAUAUCCCAGCUCUUGCCAGCACAGUAAGCAAGAGAUUUCAUCAUAAUCAUUUUAAUAUCUUUCAAAUGUUGCAUGGACAGAUAGCAGUCCAGGAAGAAUAUACACUAGAGGGUAGUCAGGGAGCGUGAUUAGUAUUGGAAACAAGUAUUUUUCUUGGCAGAGGAUGAGCAUGCCAUUUGACAGAUAGCAAAACACGGCAAGAAUGCUGCUCAGUAGUAGCAAAUGCCAAACAUUCUCUUGUGUACACCGAAGAAACUGAGUUUUGUUUUGUCUUGUUUUGUUUUUAAGCAUAGGGGAAGGGAGGGGGCUUACCACUGUCUGCAGUAGCACACAUGGCAGUACCUGCUUCUACUGCACUGUGCUCACAGCAGCUGGGAGCAUUUUCCAUGUGGGAUGGUUCUUCUCCCAAACCAAUCUAACAGGGUUAAUAAGCAAUCUGAAAAUACUGACUGGGCUUUAAUUUCUGCUGGUGGAGAGCAAACCAUUACCAUUACCAUCUUUCACACAUACAUGCAUCUCAUCUUCUGUAUCAGUGUCUGUCAGCUGUUGAAGUCAGCCAAGAAAAAAUGGGAUUAUUUCUGAGCAGUCUGGACUUCUGAGAGCCCUUUAAAUUAAAACAAAGCUCUAUGUCAACAAAGUUUUAUUUUGGUAUGUUUUACUCCAUUGCCAUAUACUGCAGAAUAAAGUGUUUGGGUGUCUAAAGAGAAAGUUAAACAGUAAUUAUUUAAUUUUCAGAUUGUCUCUGGUAGGCAUCCAGGGCAAUGAGAUUUUGAUAAAUAUUUUAUAUGGAUUUUUACAGAAUGUGUAUCAUCUGCUCUUCUAUAUGGAAGCAGACAACUUCUUGUCUGUGGUGCCAAUGAUUUUAACCUAAGUCACAGCUUGACAGGAUAGUUUUUUUAGAAAAAAAAGCACCAGGAUAAAAAAUCAUCCCUCGGCCUGGGAGAGUGAUUUUCCACUCAGGUGCAAUGCAGCUUCUCAGAGUCACUCAGGCAAAGGCUCUGCAGUCCUGAACUGGCCUGGUUUCCUCAGCUGUGGCCUUUUUCUUAUGAGAGGACAGCUGAUUGCAUGACCCCAUGAAACACAAUUUAGUGGAUAAAUCUGGAAGGCAAAACAAAUCCUUGCUUUUGAACCAAGCCCAAGAUAAACACCUGGGUAAAAGAAGAGCCAUCACACAGCUUUUCACAGAACCAGCUCUUCCAAAGUUUGGACACAACACUUUUCAUUCUUCAUUCAUUUCUUAGGGCUUGUGAAAGUAGAAGUGUUUUCUUCAGCUCUUGAUUUUACACGUUCAGUCAUGCUACCUGCUAUGCUUGGAACAAUCUUGUACAUCCUUUCAUGAAAUCUCCUCCCACCUCUCCAUACAAUGCAUUCCCACAGCAGUGCUGCCUCUUCUUUUCCUCUAAGGUCACUGCUCUCCCUAGAAUUUGGGCCAGCUGUUACUCCUGUGGCGUUGUUCACUUUCUCCAGAUUACCCUGUGUACUCCUCAGGGAUGAAUACCUUACUACACACUGGAGAAGCAAACUGAAGUCCAACCAAAGUUAAUGGCAAAAUUCCCAUCAACUUCAACAGAGCCAGGAUUUUGCUCAAAGUAUUCAAAUGAGUCCUUCGCUGGGCGUCUGUGAUGCAGAUAUUUCUGUGUCCAAGGGCAAAUUGUAUCUCCUAUCUACAUGUAAAGCAGACCGGACAGCUAAUAUUUUCAGUGUAGUAUUUCUGUCUAAAAUAAGCAAUUUUGUCUGAUAGCAAUAUAGAAUUUUAUAUAGCAUGUAAAAGCCUGAUUAUAUAAAGCUUUUUGUUCUUUUUUUCCACUUCAGUUGGCAAAUAUAUAUUUGCAGAUAUCUUAUCUAUAUGUUGCUGUUUCCUUGAGCACCUCAAACAAUAAAUCGAAACAUGCCUCAUGGUAACAUUGUUGGGUAUUUUUCUCUCACCCACAUACAUACCUACAAAGGUUUAAAAUACAACUUUUGAAAAGAUUCAGGACUGAAGGGGGAAAAUAAUCUUAUUAUGCAACAAUUAAUUGUCCUGCCAAAUGUGGGUGCCUUGGAAGCUUGAACAACCCGCCAACACACCUGUGUACAUUGGCAUUAAGUUAAAUCAAUAACAAAAAAAAGGCCCGCAGCCAAUUACCUGUCACAUGGAGAUUCAUUUUAAGUGGAGGUUUUACAAGCAUAACUUGAAUCAUAUCAUACUUACAAGAUAGUCCGUAUAUGAUAUUUACAAAGAUAUUUGAAUUGAGAAUAACAUUGAACCAAAAAGCUGUGUAUUACAAUGUCAUUAAGAAGCAAUCAACAGCCACAGUAGCAAUUAAUUUUCUGUCACAACAGAGAACAGUAAUUUACCAAAAUACAGAUAGGAGCAAAAAGAAAUGUGUUUUCUCUAAAUUGCAAUUUCUUGUAAUUAUUAUCAUACAUUAGGCCAGGAAAAAUGUCAUUUCCUACUUCCUGUCUUUCACUGUCUUGAUAUAUAUGCCUCACGUAUGCCCAUUUAUUGCUUUGUAAUUAUUUUCCAAAUAGUUCUUUGGUUGUUUAAAAACAGCUCAGCCUUAUUUCUUGUAUUUUUUUCCAGUAUAUGAAGAAAUUACAUGAUUACUAUUUCCUCCUUUACAGUGAUUGCCAAACCAGGUUCAUGAACGUAACAAUCAUGCAGUAUGGAGUAAACAGGAGUCAGAAGCACAGUUCUGUCCCUCUUCCAGUUCUGCCCAUCAAGGCACAUCAGACAUCAAGGAUGGUCUCGUAGGUAGUUUUCAUAAUGGGAAAGGACCUAAUAGUGGUAACAAAGCCUUGAUGUGCAAGAUGCUGUAUGAAUCUUCAGCCCCCAUCCAUUUCAGUAGAUGUUAAAGGUGCAAAGUAUUUGGCCUAAUUCAUCAACUUGUCUUUCUCUACUUACUUCUUCACCACAGAGUAACUCAAAAAGUCACUGUAGGUUUUGAGUUGUUCUCUGCAGUCCUGUAUUCUAGAUUCUAUUUUUUUUUAAGGUAUAUUCAUUUAUUAGUAUGAAUCAUGGUCAAUUUAAAAAGCUUUCAUGUUAAAGACAGUACUCAUAAAAUCUAUAAUGGAUAUUUCAUCCAUUUUCCAAGAAUUCUGAAGAUCAUUUUUUAAUCAUGAUGAAUCAACAGCUCCUUCUGACACAGCACUGUUUCUCCACCAAGGCCAUUGCAUGGCAUGCAGGCAUGCUGUCAGAGCAGAACCAGCUUCAGGAUGUGCUAUGACUUGACCUGCCUGCAAGAGAGGAUAGAACAUCCUGUAACUUAAGAACUCUUCCAGCAAUCCUCCAAUUGUUUCAAAAUUAUUUGAUAAAAAUGCAAUUUAGGUCCUCUUGAGGUUCAUCUUAUAGGGAAAUAUACCUUUACAUUAAUACACUGGUAUAAGGCUAGAAUGUAACAGAUGAGAACUGCAGUUGUUCUAACUACUGUAAUGUUUUGUGAGCUGGGAAGAUUUCAUUCCACUUCACUAUGAAUUUGAUCAAGUUAAAUUUCAGUAAGAAAAAUGAUGGUAACAUAAUGCCAAAGAUCCAUUAAACAAGAUCUUACUGCACUAAGUGUUGCAUAUAUUGAAUUAAAAGAUUGCCUUACUGUUGUGGUUUAACCCAGCAAGUGGCAAAGCACCACACAGUCAUUCAUUCACUGUUCCUCUUCCAAGUGGGAUUGGGGAGAGAACUGGAGUUGCGCCAGGGGAGAUUCACGUUGGAUAUUAGGGAAAAUUUCUUCUCUGAAAGAGUGAUCAGGCACUGGAAUGGGCUGCCCAGGGUGGUGGUGGAGUCACUGUCCAUGGAGGUGUUCAAGAAAUGUUUAGAUGUUGUACUGAGGAACAUGGUUUAGUGAGGAAAUAUUGGUGGUAGGUGGAUGGUUGUGCUUGAUCUUGGAGGUCUUUUCCAAUCUUAAUGGCCUCAAUGACUAUGAACUAUCAUUAAAAGUGACACUCAGGAGAACAGUUCCAACUGUUCACAAACAUGUUUUCCCUGUCAGACUUGAUUUUCUAUAUUUCCAUAAUUUUUUACCAUAAACUCUGUGUUUUAUAAGAUUGUCUGUAUAUUUGAGGGUUCUCUUCUGAAGAUGUUAUUCCAGAAUGGUUUUAUUCUUUAAAUAUUAAGGUGAAGAGAAUCAAAGAUUUUACACCCUUCCUCUCAAGCUGCCUUAUUCUUCAAAAAAUGUUUAGAAUUGCAUUAACAUCUUGUAAAACUAUAACAUUAGCAGCUAGAAGUCAUUGUUAAAGCUUGAAGACACUGUCAGUGAAGUCACAUUAAUUAAUGUUUCCUGUGUUAAUGUAUCUAAAUCUUAACUGUAAUUGAGUAGUUACAUCAGCUAGGUUGUCCUUUUUACUUUUUCAGACCUUAAGCAGUAUUGAUGAGUAUUUCCUGUUAUCUGAAUAACAAUAUACUCCAGGAUUGUAAAGGUAAUGUGUCCAUUAGCAGUAAGUCUCUCACUGGCCCUUACAGCUCCCACAUCCUCGUUGGAAAACAGGGCCACAGUCCUGAAGACCUGAGGCUGUUUUAAGCUCCUCAAAUAAAGACGUUUCUCUCAAAGCAGAGUUAGAAGCUGAAGAUAACAGAGUGCAAUAGGACUUGUGAAAAGGAUGUCAGCAAUGUCAGUUGUCAUGGUUUCAGGUCUGAGAGAACGUUAAGUUUCUGAACUUGUUCUGUUAUCAGAGCCACUCUCAGUUCCCCAUUUAUUGCCAAACUAUGUAGACUCAGAGAAGCUGGAAACAUGAGGGACCUGUCUGGCAUCUGAGUUCAGACUCUUUCAGGAAUGCUCCAUACCUAAGUUUCCAAAACAUACCAAGUGCUAAAUGGCUUCAUCCAGGGACCCUUGAAGCCACUGAAGUGCAAUGUAUCAUUGAGGUGCUUUUCUCGUCCAAUAAUUCUAAUUUUUGUAGAGUUACUUAUAAGGUCUUGCAUCUGCAAAGCAGAAAAAAAGAUUGAGAAAACUUUAUUUCCAAAAAUUAAAAAUUAAAUAAAGGUUAAUUUAAUAAAGGUGAUCGUAUUUCAAUUAAAAAAAAAAAAAAAAAAAAAAAGUACAGUUCCUUUUCACGGUUUUAACAUCAGAAAUGUUUAAACAGCCAACACCUCCCAACCAGGUAUCUUUUUUGAAGCAUCUAUAUAUUGAACAAAAUAGUUAGGAGUUAUCAUAUCUACUGCGACCUAGUAGUAUUUUUGAUACAGGAUUUCAGAUCAAUUAACAGAGGGUCACAGAGUGAGAACUACUUAAGAGUGUGUCCCAGGUAGGGCACUGCCAAUGGCACAAGCCAAGCAGAACGCAGGAAUUCAUCCUUGAGAUCCAACUGGAAGAUGUCAUUGAAAUGCCACAAGUUCUGUCUGCCAGACUUCAAGUUGACAGGAUUGAGAGCUUCCCUCUUUGGAAAAAAAAAAAAAAGACAACAGAUAAAGAUGCCUCAGUGGAAAUAUGCCAGGUUUCUAUGCAAUCACUCACCUCGUCAAGCUGGAAUAAUUUCCACAUUGCUCCAUCAUACAUUGACUCGAAUUACACUAUAACUUUGAAAUCAACAUUUUCUAGUUGUCUCCUUGAAAACUUCUCAAAAUGAUCUUCUUAUCCUUUCUGUUUUCUUGCAUUCUGAUGCUGAUUUCUUGCAUUCAUCUGAUGCUGAUUUCUUGCAUUCUUCUGAUGCUCAUCGUAUUUGGAGUACAGUAUCAGCUGCAACUGAGGAUACAAACCGAUACAUAUACUGACUACAGAUAUGUUUGCAUUUACACUUGUGUAUGCGUACUGCAUUGCAGUGGAAAAAAAAAAAAACGUUUACUUAAGUGAAAUUGGUAUUACUCUGUUCUCAUAUGGCUAUGCAGAGGGCACGGUUACCUUCCAGUGGGAAAUAGAUACCAUAGAGGCAUUUAACAUCAAGCAGUUGACGGUGAAACUACACACGCUUUCAUAUAAAAUGCCACGGAACUAAGUUACUGCAUUCUUCAAUAUUCUUCUCUGAGACCACUUCUAACUUUUAUGAUCCCUCUAAUUCAAACUUAAGUAAUAGAGAAUGUGUCAAUACAACUUUCCCUUUAAGUAUUGCUAAGGAGCAUGCAGGAGCCCACAUGUUUGCUUAACUGGCCCUGCAACCAACACUGCUAACAAUAAAACCAGAAGUUCAAACCCAGUUCCUUGCUUUCAAGUAUGCCCUUCAAACAGAAAAUACCAGUUUGUCAUCCUUCUAAAACAAAGUGCAUGAUAACCAGGAAUAAAUCUAACGUAUCUACCCCAUCAUUUUACUGACUUUUUUCAACACAUACUUUCUACCAAAGGUAACAGCUACUCAUGGCAUAUAUGCGUGUGCAUUGGUAAGCAUGCCUCAGAGACAUACAACCUCCCCCACCCUGCAUUUUCAAGUGCUAUAACACACUGCCUGCUUCCUAGUCCUGCAAAUACCCUUGAAGUGGAAUAAUGUUUAACAGAGGGCAAUACUGCUGGAGAACUGCCAAAGAAAUGAAGGGUGAGGGAAGCCAGUCAAGGCAUUCUGAUGAAUAUUUUUGUAUCUCCAAAGACACAACUAUUAUGCAAACAUUGACCUGUUUGUCAAGCAAUCACAGUUUACUAUUGCUUAAAGGUCACAGAAGUUUCUAAGAUUAUUAAAUAAUGCAUGGAGCCAAAGACCAAGGAUAUUAUUUAAACAGUGGAGGUAACUUUUGUUAGUGAAGGACAAUACGAUGACAAUGCCCCUUUAUUUUCCCUUGAAAAUCUCUAGAGUUUGCACUGUAAUAUAGUAAUGGCCCGUUUAAGCUGAAAGAAGGAACUCUGCUGCGGAAAUGUGGCUCAGUACUACAAUAAAAUAUUACAUGCAUUUUUCUCCCCCUUUCUCUACAUUUGUUGGUACAUGAUUUAUGUUUUUCUACAGGCCUUUCUCUGGUGCUAGGGAGCAACAGUCUCUCCAGCAGUCUAUACACAUAUAUUUGUGAAUGCAAUGAUCAGUCCCCAUUUGUCUUUCCAAUGUGGAUUAUAAUCCAGUGCAAAAAUUGUUUUGCAACAAUUGAGAGUAUGUGCUGUGCACACAUAAACAGGAAUCAGCAGAGGUUUGCAAAACCUAGUAUCAACUUUGUCAUCUGUUGAGACUGCUUCAUGAUAAGAAAUCCCACACUUACAGUUUCCCAAAGGCUGCAGUCCCUUCUAUUCUCACUAGGCCUUCCAGGUCAUCUCUUCAUGGUCUUCAGAUAUUCCCAAACUCCAGCUAGGUGAGUGAUCCCUUCCAAUGCAAAGAAUUCUGCUCCAUGACCUUCAGUUUCCAGGUAGCUGCCCUUUUGACAGAGACCCAGAAGGAUACAUUUCCCCCAUUUCACCAAGCAGCUACCAAGUUGUUCUGAAAGCUGCAGUGAGCUGGCCCUGGGAUCUUCAUCAGAAACUACAAGCAGAUAAUCUCAAAGGUUUUGUUCCAUCUCAGAAAUAAUCAGUAGUUCCCUCUACAUUUAUAAAGCACAGCUCUGUAUAAACUGGAAGAUAAUGGAAGUGAAGUAUUAAUGACAGAAUUUCUGAUUUAAACAAAAUGAAUAAAAAAAGAAUAGCAGUCAUGAAUUUGGGUGGAUUCUAGCACUCAGUGUUUUUUUUUCUUCUUGGUGGUACUUGGCUACUGUUGCCUCAUUUUUAUGAACAUUUAUAUUUGGAAGACUCCCCAUUAUCAUUCUGCUUGGUUGCCAACAGCAAAAGCCAUAACGACAGGUCCAAGAAGGGACAGAGAAAGAAGAACAUUUGGAGGCCAACAGAGAACUAAAAUUUCAGUUUCAUUCAUCAUGAUCAUGAAUAUGCACUCCCAUCAAAACAUUUAUAGGUGACUUACAGUAAUAUGAAAGACACCUAGCUGCCAAGAAACCUUUGGUCAUAUCACAGGGCAACCGAGGUUAUCAUCAAGAACAAAAACUAAUCUUAAAAAAAAAAUCCAAUAAAAAGACAAUAUCUCUGGACAAUUAUUUCACAUGACAAAUAUCACGACUUCAUAGAAUAACUCAGUCAUUCCAAGAAGCACUAUUUCUCCUGGAAAUCCAGAUGAAGUGAUUUGUGGAGUGGGAGGUACCUAAUAAAGCCAGUGGAAGUGUUGGCAGGGAGUUUAAUGGCACAGCACCAGAAUGACACUCCUGACCUUACAGUUUAAGCAAGAUGCCUUCAGAGGAAAGAGAAGAAAGAGCCCGUUAUUAAUGGAGUUGACAGAUACAGAAUUAAGCCUGAUAAACCCAAACUACAUUCUUCAGAGUCACCUUCCCACUGAAAACUUAUGGGCAUUUGAAAUUACAUGCAGUAACUUCAUUUCUUAUCCCAAGAGGAGGUGAGUAUUCGUUUGUAUACCCUGGAGACUCUUCAAAUAAACCACUGCUCAGGGCACUGUCUGCCAGACCCACCUUCCCUAUGAUCUAGGGGAGAAAAGCAUCAAAUGAAAGCCAGAAAGUUCACCCAUCUGGAUGCAACCUGCACGUACUAAAGUGGGCAUGUCUGUUCUGUUAGCAGAGAUCCCCAGCUCCCAGCUCAGUGCAGCGCCAGGAGGAGACGCCAUGCCAGGUCAUGAAGCCAGAUCUGUAUUCAUAGGCUGUUGAACCCAAAUAAGAAAUCCUCUCUGUCCACAUUCAGCAGUAAUACAUGGCAUGCACCCAGUGUGCUCAGGUGGAUUAUACAGAUGUGUGCAGUACCUAAACCAUGCUGCUGCCAGCUCUCCAUGGCAACUCAUUUCAGCAAAGACAGGGACACUUGUAGGAAAGCAAACUGAUGCAGGAGAAUUUAAUAAGUCUUGAGCCUACAUGAAAAUAAAGCCAAGCUUUCCUUAUCCUGUCUUGUCCUCACUGUUCAAUAAAAAGAAUGCAAGAAAAAAAAGCAAUCUGUAGAGUAUAAAUCAUGACUUGAUAAAUGUAGGUCCUUAGAAGCCAGUUGUGUAAAUACAGAUACACCUGCAGGCCCUGAUAACCAGAUUAGCAGCAACAGCUGCCAGACCAUGCAGCAACAACCAAGAGAUAUUGUUGUGUCCUGGCCAACGAAGUUUCCAGAUUGACUCUCAGGUGCUUCCCGUACAUCACUGUUAGUGAGAGCAAUGCAUCAUGAAAGUAGAUGAUCUCCAUUGAUCUUGAAAAUGUAACAUUUUUCUCUUUGAAUGUAUACAAUGCAGUUUGACACUCGCACUAGUUCACAGUACCUCCAGUGUACAAAGGGAUGAGACUUUGUCUGCUGGCAGCUGGGAAGAAUAUCUGAACAGGAAAAAAGAAGUUGUGUCUGGGUUUGGUAUGACCUCAUGUUAAAUAGUAUAUCCUUAUUGGGUAAAUAUCCAUAUCAACUGAUUCAUAGGUGUCCUGCCUUACCUGUUCUUAUUGAAAAUUAGAAUCUAAAAUUAACAAUUUUUCUUGGCAAAGCUCCACUUGAAUUACAUGAAAAAAUCUGAUGAUCCUCAGAGUGACAAGAAGUACAAGCUAGAUCUAGAAAUAUACACAGGCAUAGACAGAGGGGAAAAAAAAUCUUUUUGUCCCUACCAACAAAUCUAACAUCAGUGGUUCUAUCUCAGCACUGCUCUUGUUAUUCUUCCUAGAAAUAGAGAUAGUUCAUAGACAAUAUAAUAAAAUUUAGGUGCUUGUGACCCACUGAGACUGUUGAGCCAGGCCUUCCUUGGUGGUACAGUUCCACUGGGGCUGAGGCAGUGGUAGAGCCAGGGCUGAUAACAUCAUCCACUGGCAGCCCCCAACACAGCAAGCCAUCAACCUGCCAUGAGCAGAAGGAGGUGGGCCCAGAGACACUGCUGUAGGGCAGUUCUCCUGCAACAUUGCCAAAGCAAGACAACCAGCACCAGGCAGGACUGAAACAAGGCUCCUGGGCAUGGAAAGCAGUGGGUUGAGGCUCCCACUAUGAGUAGUAUCCUCAGGAAAAUCCUUUAUAGGAAAGUGUUUGAAUACCUUUAUAUCCAAAUUCAUGUGAUAAUCCUGCCCUAAAGGACUGGCAGGACUUAGGCAUGAACUAACCAGCCAAGAACUAGUCUUCCACCACGAGUAUCGGGUCUAGACUAAAAAGCCUGUGUUUCUACUCAUUUCUAAUGAUUCAAAUGACUCCCUUCUUGACAAGAAUAUCUACUGCAACCAAAAACAGUGAAAACUUGAUAUAAGUUGAAAUGUUGACUGUAUAGUUAAUAUGGACUGAACACCUAGUCAGAUCAAAAUAACUGAAAUAAUUGAAGGGUUACUGUAUGCUGGAUGUCUCUUGUCUUUGUGAGUAGUGGAAUGGAUACUCUCACAGGCAAGCUGUGAGGCAACAAAUUCAGCCUUCACAUUUCCAGUCAAGAGGCACUGCACUGCAGACAGAACUCUGAAGAAUAAUUACUGAUUACUAAUAUACUGUGGAGAAAUUGCUUUAUUACAAGGUGCAUUCUAACAUGCUGUAAAGAUGUACAAAAAAAAAAAAAAACAAAACAAAACAGAAAAAUUAAAUACUUAAAAGAUGAUUCUAGCUUGUUGUGGCCUGUUGCAAAGCAGUUAUAAAUUGGAGUACUUACAGCGGUUCAUGCAUGUCCCUGCAUGUUUGAACAGCAUAUCAGAGAAUUUAUUUAUCAGGGGAAAAAAAAGUCUCUGCUAAGUCAUUUAGUUCUUAAAAAGGUUCCUGUCAUUUACAGUUUUGCCAGAUUCUAUAAGGCGCAAUACCAGAUUGUCACAUGGGAAAGGCUUGCAGAUUCAAGUCCUUAUUCUUCCCUCUAGCGAGUACUGGAACGAACAAAUUUGGGACACAGAGGUUACGUCAAAGCCUUCCAACUCUUUGAAGGAUAAUUACCAUAGCUGCAUAAUCACAUGGUCUACCUUCCAUGCGUUCAUGUUAAGGAGAGGACAUUAAUCUAACUAACGCCCAGCGGCUGACAUUAUAUAUAUAUAUAUAUAUAUAUACUAUAGUUCUCUAUAAGAUAUAGCACACCACUUAACAGCUGCAGAAAACUCUUUACUACAUUCACAAACCCUUGAUGGAAAGAGCUGCUUAAUUCUUUUCAGACCUGUCAUAUUAGGUAAGAGUGUUCUGCUGCAGGAUGAUGAUGAUGCUAAUUGUCACAUUGUAUUGUUUCACUAGACAGCCUAGCCCACUACUUUAUUAUGGGUUAUGUAAGAGUUACAAGAGGUAGCCAAUAAACAGUGCACUAACAGAAUCAUUUACACUCUGAAAUGUUCAGAAGUACUCACAGGUAUGUCUAGAAGUCAUCUAAAACAACGCUUUGGUUCCAGGGGAUGGCAUGUGCUGAUGCUAUGAUCUAUGUAAGACUCUCCUCAGCAAACAAAUCACAAAGAAUGUUCCCGCAGCUCUUGGUGUCGGAGGCUUGGAGGAGCUCAUCCUCUUUCAUGUUAUGCAGUAUCCAAAGAGACUAUAGUGCAAUAUUCCCUUUUUCACUAUCUGUACAAAGGUUUUGGUUGACUGGCAAGGAAAUAAUGGAAUCAAAUGGCACAUAACAACUGGCCCUCUCCCAGCGCUUGUCCAUCUUCUUUCAGUCCAUUUGUGAAAUCAUAUGGAAAUCUCAGCAAUGUUGGGAUGUCCAAACAAGCAUGGUGAGCCUUUCAGUCCCUAUUUAAUAUAUUAAUGAUCAAGAAAUUGUGUCCUUUCUCACGUGGUUUGCAAAUCUUUACUGCUGUCAUUUCCACCGGAAAGUGGUAAAAUAUGGAAGUGUUUUGAUGGAGGGAGGAGGAAAAUCUUUUCAGAUACAGUGUAGAAACAAAUAAACACAAGACAUAGUUCCUGGUUUGUAACCAAAAUCAAUAGCCAUAUGCAGCAGGACUGAGGUCAAUUUAUGCUCCCAUGUUUCACAUAUUGACAAAAUCUGUAUUAUUGUAAUGCUGUGUUUUAUUAACCUAUGUCUAAUAAAGCUUAUACUUCAUUAAAAAGCCAUUUUCAAACAGAUUCUAUGCAUUUUAUUAAUAAAUAAAUUUUAUUACUUACUGUAAAAUCAGUAACAUAAAUAAAGUACAUUAAGCAUGUCCUUUUACCUACAGAAAACAUAUCACAACUAUUUUCCUCCAAGAUCUAAUUAGAUUAAGCUUUCAUUUUCAAAACAGAAGAAAAUACCUGGGGCAGAUCUGGCUAUAAGUCAGCACCAUACCUGUUGGCUUCUUUGUUUUGUAUUUUUGUUUAUUUGGUUAUUAUUUUACCAAGUAGCAAAUUUGCCUAUGUAAUAAACAAAAGGAGCCCUCUUGUGAUAGAGCCUACUCAAAAGUAAAAACAGAUACUCGUGAAAAUAUCAAAUGAUUAAUUUUUUUGCAUUUUUUAAACAAUUAAAUGGUGUUCAUUAAUAUUUCAUACUGCACAAAUAUUUUUAUAACCAUGCUUGCUAUCUCUGUAACAUUCAGAUAUGCCUGCAAAUGUUGAGUAGCCAUAGAUCCUAGAGUCAGGCUCUUUAUUACAUAUGCUUAUAACUAUGACUCAUAAACAAGUUCUAAACUAAAUGCAGCAUAUGCAAUUGUUGAAAUAGCACUUUGUUUGGGGGAAAUAGCGUCUUGAAUUAAUGCUAUGAUGGAAGUGUGAACUUGUAUAACAUAUCUGAGUUUCAAUUUCUUACCUUUAAAAUGGGAGAAUUAACUUCAAAUGCUGAGUAUAUCACUCUUGUAAGAGAUAACAAGUCUGGAAACCAAGGAGAGUCCACAGGGUCCUCAUUGUUGAAGCAGGACAAGAAAAUUAAUUUCCCUAGUAAUUAAUAUGUUGCCACUGCAGUAAUAGACCAACAUGACAAGGUGAAGGAUCUUAGUACGAAUAUGAUCCAACAUGAUGCUUGAGCUGCAUGUUGAAAGUAGACAUUGACAUUGAUUGUUUCAUUUCUGGGAGCCUAUCAUCCAUGGCCCUAAUUAACUGCAUUUGGAAAUCUGUGUGAGCUACCUAUGGAACAGGCUUUGUCUGUCCUUGCAUUUCUCCCUGAAUGGGGCUGCAAGGCUAAACUCUCUGGUUGCCUACUUUUACAGUGGGGACAGUUGCAAUACACAUGAGCACAUUUGAAUGGCUGCUUUAACCUUUUCAGUGAGGAGAAGAUGCUCAACCAUGAGACCUCUUGUGAAGAGGAGGCAACACGUCCCAUACCCAAUUCAUUUCACGGAGGUCAUCCAAGUGCUUUCACCAAAUUCUCUUAUUUUCAUUGUGACAUGAGAAGACAUUCUUAUUGAAGUGUGCUUAAAAGAAAGCAGUCCUUGAACUCUGGAGUGACAGAAUUUUGUCUUCGUAGUUCAGUGUGGUCUACUUAUUCCCUGUGAGAGCCGAAGCAAUGCAGGAAGCACACCUUUCCCUGCAACAAUAUGGGAGGGGCUGAUACCUGGGACCUCAGUGAAGCACAGGCUGAGUUUAUUCACAGUCCAGAUUUCCUCAUUACUCCCAUGUUAUCAUUAAUAUUUCAGAUCUCCUCAAAGUCAAAAUACCAGAAUAUCUUUGUUCUCAUGAGAAAUCCAACAGCUCCUGGGGGGAAAACGCUAUCUGGAGAAAAAUCCAGACUAGAAGUGUUUAGCUGAAAAUAAUCCCCACUUUCAUUUUAAUUUACUCAUAUUUUAAUUGGAGGGAAAGAGAUGUGGGAAAUAUUGGUGAGCAGUGAAAAAGGAAGAAAGGCAAAUUCUGUACACCAAUCACUGGAGUAAAAGGUCACACCAAGGGGCAGAAUUUCCCUUCACUACAGCUGAUAAUGUUCCUCUCUAUGGAAUAUCACGGGGAAAAAAAAUCCUAAAUUUCAGUGCUUUUCAGUGAAAAUAUUUGAUUCUUAGUCUCAAGAUUUAGACUGAGAACAGGAGGCAGUGAUGGAAUAAAUGAAAUGGAAAAAACCCUAUUAACACUCCAGGUCUCCUAAGAGUAGAAGUGACAGAACAGCCUUGUUCUUUUAAACAGAGUGCAGAGGACAUUUUAGCAGAAAACAACAACCAGCGAUAAGAUCCUAUUUGAGGGGCAUCAAUUUUCCCCUCAGGGCUCUACACAGAAAAGAACGUAACAGCACAUUUUACUCCUGCUGGAGAUGUGCUAAAGCAGCUGUCCAGUACUUGGAAUAGGAGGAAAAACUGUUCUUUGUUACUUCAGUCUUUCUCUAUAUCUGAUGCAAGUCAGAAUUCAACCUUUGCAAAAUCACAAGUUGUACUCAGCUCUGGAUUUCAGAGUUACAGACCAACUCCUCCAUCAAUUCCUAUUUCCACCAUUCCUAUUUCUCUUCGUCAUACACUGCACUGGUACCCUGCAAUCACAACUUUCCCACAGUACUGAACUUCAAACAGUAAAUCACACACAAUACCAAAGUCUCAUUGAAGAGAGGUUUCAACCCAUAGUGAAAAUUGGUCUCCUGUUUUUCUUAAAAACAGGAAUAAAUUAGUAUUUGCAAACUGACUAUAACACAUCUGUAGUAUUGAGAGCUUUGUAACAGCACCCUUCCAGAGAUCUACCCUGUGUGUGUCCUCCCUUACAUUUAAGUUUCUGAAGUGAGGAGCCGACAUCACACAAGCAAGGCUGGAAGGAGCCCUAUGACAUCACCUCUGCUAUCUUUCUUCCCCAAGGUAUCAAAAGAAGUAAUUUAAGGGCAUUCUGAUAGAUCAGAGAUAGCCACCCAUUUUGUUUGGAGAAAGUAUAUGAAAGCUUUCGUACUUCAGAAGACUAUAGAACAGGCUAGAACUUUCAGAGCAAUACUUCUAUUUUCUGGCACAUUUUUUUCUAACUCGGGAACUCUUUUCACAAGAGUUUUGAUCUCAGGUUUAUCAGGCAGUUGGGGAAGAAAAGAUAAGGACUGAAACAUUUCAAACUAACUGAAAGUAUCUGUGUAAGACUGAACCUAAGGGAAGAUGAAAACUCAAAAGUGGGCAGUUGUGUUCUUGUUUAUCCCAAUCUCACCACACCCACAUGGUAGCAAAAUAGGCCCCAUGCCGAGAAUUUGUGGCAAGAGCCUAUUGUGUGGGCUUGGAAUAAUUUAAGAAUUGACUGUCAGUCUGUUUCUUGGCUUCCAGCUAUGAAGUAAUGCUCUAAGUAGAGAGCGAUACUCUGAAGCGCUCAUUACAAUCUUUAAAGCUGUCUCAUUUUCAAUUAUGAAUAUUAAAAAGAAGUACUCAGUAAUUCCUGCAUUAUAAUUAAUAUUCCAACUUUUGGUGUGGCUUGUUGGUUUUUUAAGGUCUAUUUUUAAAGACACUCUCUUAACUUAUUCCGGAGUUAGUUCCCAACAACCAAAUAUUGUUCCUGUUUAUAUCAGUGGGGAAAGUCCCAGUGAAAAAACUAAUCAGACCGAAGUUAAUGAAAACAACACCCCCAUUUAAAACAAUGCCCUAGCCUUAAACAAUCUGCUCGCAUUGCCUACUUGUAUAAAAUUUUAUAGCCUGCAUGUUCCAACCUUAAAAAAAAAAAUCCUGAUUAUUUAUUUAUGCCCUUUUUGUUUAAGAAGUUAAAUCCCCAGAGCAUCUCAAUUUAGAUCAAAAGCAAGCUACCAAAAUUCACCUGGCACACCUGUGCCGUGUGAUUUCUUAAUUACUUGCCUAGCAUUCUCAGAGCUACAAGGCAGAGAUGCAGGGCUCGUUUAGCACAUAUUCAGAUCUCUGCAAUGAACCUUGUGUAACAGAGACUUUCCAGAGUGCCCGAGGUGGUAACCAGUGUUAAACGAUCCCAUAUCUCCACAAACACUUGCAUUUCAGCAAUUUGCUUUCUCACAGGUUUCAGAAGACAGAGAGCUAUCUUGGGGUGAGUAAUCUGGGGAAAUAGAUUGAUUUAUUUAUGAGUUUCUUGAUGAAGGUUUUCCCCGGCUAGUGAGCAGCAUGGUGUUCCUUGCGCCAGUAGAGCCUUCUCAGUUCGAAGCGUAGAAGUAGGCCUAUUAAUUAUGAUAGCCACAGGUUGUUAUUACUUACAUUUAUGAUGCAACACCCUAGGAACCAAGGGAAGAGUUUGGCCAUUUCUGUUACACCUCAGACAAGUCUUCAGUUGACAGUCAUGGACAUUAACCUAAAAAGAUGUACUCAAAACAGGAGCAUGAGGUAUGGCACAAACAAGGCUCAUCUGAGGGAGCACACCCCAAGUUUUUGCUGAGACACUUCUUCCUCUUGGCUACAGGAUGUUUCUACACAGUGAUGAGAAACUGAGUUCACAUGUUAGAUGUGACUGCUGCUAUGCUGAUAUGCACGACUGACCAUUGAUAUGCCCCUUGUCUAGCCAGAGAACAUGCACCACUUGGAUGUAGAUGGGCUCAAAUUCAUGUUCAGUUUGCACGUACACUGACAAUUGUGUACAUGCAGGAGAAGAUCAAUCAUGUCUUAAACCUCCCUAGCACUGAGCACUCCUAGCUGUGUGUCUUCAUGCACGCAGUUUUAUAUUUUAAUAGGAUAGUCACGGUAAUUUGUUCUUUACAAGCGGUUUGGAUAGCAAUUAGGCAUCAAAUAUUACAGCUGCUUCUUUGGCUAUUUGUCAUUAGUGUAAUUUCAUUAAUUGGACAAAGCAUUGACUCUGUUAACCUGAAUAUAAUUUAAACUGCUGAAAGCUGAUGGCAUCUCUCUUGGUACAGUGAAAAUACACUGCUCUGUCAGAAAGCUAAAGGCAAUUAUUACUAUUAAUAGUGCAUGCUUCCACAGCACAAAGAAACUUCAGUGCCAUCAGGAUUCCUUACAUGCAAGAGAUGAAGCAGUUGACUUGAAUCACGCACAAGAUGAACAGAUGCAACCUGUGAUCCCUGCUUUAUCAGCGUGUCAUUCACUGUGACCAUUAAUGGACACAGAAAACAUUCAAUUCGAUAAUGUGUCUUUUCAUGAAAGAUUUUAGGAGAAAAUAUUUUCAGUUGUUUGCUUCAAAAUUCAAUUUUUCAUUGAGAAACAUAUCCAUUGCCAAGAAUAUUGCCAAAAAUUGCCAAAAAGUCCCAAAUGAAACCAGAGAUGCUGAAAAGGCUCUGCGCAAGAUCUGUUUCAAGCAAAUAGAAGUCUCUUUUGGCAACACCAUUCUGAUUUGAUUACAGGAAAAGACAAGCCAGUAAAUUUUAAUUUGUAGAUUUGUAAUUUGUUCAUAAAAAUUUCAAAUAAUUUUGCAAGGAAGAUUGCCGUGUAUCUUACAGAUAAUACAAAAGAGAUCUUCAGGUACACUGAGAUUCGGUUGAUCAGGAUACUAAUUACUAAGCUACAUUUAAUUUCAAAAUUUUAAAAUGCUUGAAAACUCAACCAAUCAUCUCUGUUCCUUGAAAACACAUUGUUUUUCAGAAAUAUUACAGAAAAUCUGGGAUAUGGAGAUAUUUUUAAAGGUUGUGCUUCAUAACAAUGCAUUUCCCAGCUUCCUCUGUGCAAUAAAAAGGUAAACUAAGUUAUCAACAAGAAAUCUAUCUGCUAAAAGUUAAUAACAAACAUCUGCUGGUCUCCUGGGAGAGACAGUGGAAAAUGGGUGGGAAUUUCCAGCUUUAAGCAGCCACUCCCGCAAUGUUCAAGUCAACAGAAAAACCUGUCAGUAGAAGGUCAGAGUCAUUAGGAGAUUUUUUCCCCUGCAGAGAAAUAGAUCAGAUACCCAUAAUUUCAGAGACAUUAUUUAGGAUUUUACAAAGUUCUCACAUUAGCUGAAGCUCUUAUGUAAAGCCUACCUUUCGGAGCUACAUCUUAAAGGCUUAUAAGACCACCCUGAAAGGUGCAAAGAAGACACGAACAAGCUCUUGUCAGUGGUGCCCAGUGCUAGGACAAGAGGUGACGGGUGCAAACUGGGGCACAGGAGGUUCUCCCUGUCCAUCAGGAGGCACUUCAGUGCUAUACAGGAGACAGAGCACUGGCACGGGGACACAGAGAGGGUCUCCUCUUUGGAGAUCUCCAAAAGCCACCUGGAUGUGGGCCUGGGCACCCUGCUCUGGGUUGUCCCGCUGGAGCAGGGAUGGGCCAUAUGACUCCAGAUACCUCUUCCAACCUCGGCCAUUCCACGAUUCUGUGGCUAUAAGCAAGCAAAGGUCCCAAUCCACAAAAGAAUACAGUUUAAAAAGAUUCCUAACAUCAGCAAAGUCGAGACAAUAUGUAAUGUCCCAUAUGUUCAUGAUCCUAAGCCCCUUGCACUAUCUUAGGUAAUGCUCUUUUAGUGUCAGAAAUGUCUCAUUUGCCAAUCACUAAGAAUACAUACAUAAGCCAUUAUUUCUGUUCAGUUGAUUCAUGGUCAUUUGUUAGAUUACAGUAAUAUGAUUGUGACGCUGAGUCCUAAGAAGUCAUUAUCUAAGGUAAUUAUAAAUUCUAAAGGAGCAAAAUACUUUCAGCACAUAGAGGGAAAGAACAGGUAGUUUAAUAUGAAGUUCUGCAGGUACCUUCAGAAUGUCUGACCUGAAAGAUGCCAGGUUUUAAUGAGGAAAGAGGAUAAGUGCUGAUAUUCUGUUCUUGUUAACUUGAAAAUUUUGAGAUACUUAAAAACUUUUUUUUAUCCAUAGUUUAUAGAAAAUUUAGCUCUUUCAAUUUGCUAACAAAGUUUUCACCAUGAUAUUACGUAAUAUUGACUGUAGCAUGGUAAGACUUAAAAUGGGUAAAAACCCAUUACUAUUUUUGCAGUUUUCUUUCUUACCAAACCACUUAUUCAGCAAACAAAUAGCAUAAGGUGAUACUAUUUUCAGGUAUUUUCCUGUCUCUGGGAUAACUGCUGAAGCUUACAUCUGUAAAUAUUAGCUUAAGCAACCGGUUAAAUAUAUUUCUGGUCCUCAAAGAAAUAACUGUAGUUAUAUUUAAGCAUUCCUACUUACGAACAUUUUCACGUAAGUAUCUUCUACCAUCAUUGGCUAAUAUCUCUGCCGACCAACUGUCAUGGAUGUGGCGCAGUUCAAAUCAUCUUGCAUUUCUGUGGGUUUACAUCAUCUUAAACCUGUAUUAAUUUGAAGGUACAUUUGGCACAAUGUGAGUUUUAUGGGCAUCACUUGUAGCAUCAGCAAUUAUUGAGAUUACUUGUUUCUUCUCAUUUCAAGCAUGUUGGUGCUGCCAGUGUUACAGUCAUAUGACUAGGGUGAGCCUGACAUGUCAGACACCUGUCUGAGCUUGAAAGAUUUUUGGAAAACUUCAUCCUAAGGAGUUCAGCUUUUUCCAACACUUUGACCAUGGAAAAAUCCCCAUCUUUUUCAUGUUAAACUUCGAAGUAACCUUUUUUUUUUUUUUUUUUUUUUUUACCACAACUUUAAC